rnacentral:pre_miRNA from 1 species
UUUGUACUUCCUCCAUCCCAAAAUUCUUGUCUUAAAUUUGUCUAAAUACGGAUGUAUCUAGUUACAUUUUAGUGUUAGAUACAUCCGUAUCUAAACAAAUGUAAGACAAGAAUUUUGGGACGGAGGGAAUACUAC